AUUUUCUUUUGGCAGGUCCGAAUAGUUUCAAGUUUCAACUGCAUUAUCUCUCUCGCGUGUCAGUAAAAGAUUCCAAACCAAACCAGAAGAGGAAACAAGUGGAGGACCCAAAAUUCUAAAGAGAUUAGAGUGAAGUAAGCAGACAGAUAUAAGACUUGCGUUACGUGGAUGCCACCACUUCCUCUAUGGCCAGUCCACUAAGUAAGAUUUUCCCCCUUCAAUUCCUUUGGCUCGUGACUUGCGACGGCAUACGCACUUACCAGUUUAAGAUAAGACCCUUUUGGCCCCACAUUAUCUUUCUUUCGUUUCUUUCAUCAUAACAUAACUUCAGAAUCCUAUGAUUUGUAUACUUGUUUUCAGCUUGUUUUGUUGCAUUGCAUGCGUCUCAACUCUCUCUGUAAAUAAAUAUUCGCCAUGCAUGCCUGCUUGUUAACGAGGUCAUUCUCUCUUAACGUUAUCGUACGCCAUGAUUUAUGUAUGAUCCAUGUAUGGGAAAAAUGUUACAUAAGCAAUAGAAUAAUGCUAGUGAUUUAGGAAAAUUAAAAUACAAAAUAUUCAUUUUUGGUUAAUUAAUUAGUAAAAGAGAGAAGAUUAUUCCUCUCUAGCGACAUCCUGAAACCUUGCCACCGCUAAUUAUGAGACGCUUGUCUAGUCGUAAUGCAUAAUAUUAUCUUUCUUUUAAACUCCACUAAUUCACCAUGAAUAAAAUGUUAUUACUAAAACUUUAUUGAUAGUCAUCACACUAUAUAUACACAAAUAUAUAUAUAUAUGUGUGUUUGUGUGUUUCGAUUACAAGUUUACUUUCUUAUCAUAUGGUAACAAUAAUUUAUAAUCAUGGUAUACGAAAAUUUCAUUUUUAUUUAAUUUACUUUAUUGAAAUGAUAUUAGUCUAUUAAUUAUCUCCUACAAUCCUAUUUUUUACUGAUUUUUUUUGUUUGAUACAUCAUUCAUAACUAUUUUGUUAUAUUACGAUUGGUGAUCUUAACAUUCACGAUAAUGUUUAUCUUCUGCAACACUUUUAAAUAGCAAACGGUAGCAAUGAUCCCAUAGUGAUUGUACUUACACAGUUACACCACUCUUAUAUUAGCUUAUAUAUAAAUUUGUAUAAAAUGAAUUCCGAAAAAGAAAAGUGUACGCAGAUCACAAUUUCAUAUAAUCAUUUAAGUGGUAAAAUCAUAUAAACUCACGUAAUCACUCCCUUAUUCAUCCACCCUCUAAUUUAAAACAUCACUGGAAGAUUAGUUUUAGUACACAGACAGCACUAAGUGUUACCAAAUGGUUUUAGUGUCGUCUCAUUUAUUUCAUUUUUGUUAAUGUACUUUAUUUUUAAGAUGGGAAGAGACUUGCACACAGAAUGACCAAAAUAAAUUAAAAGCCUCUCUUUUCUAGCUAAGAGUCCAAUAUAAGAGCAACAUUAUAGGUGGGAUUUGAUUUUUUGGUCCUUAGAAUAUUUUAAGGUUAUUUGUGAGUUAAGGUCAUAUUUAGGGAUUUUCCCUUAGAAAUUAGAUUAUUGGUGGGACUUAUGAAAGUCCCUUAGUGAAUUAAUUUUUUUUUAUUAGGCAGGUGUGUAUAUUUAAGGGGAUUGAGAUGAGAGUUUAAUAUUAGCUGGUGAAGAGUAUUAAGUUUCUACAUAAAGACUAACCAUAAACCAUAUAUGUCUAAUCUGAACUUAUUACUAACCUAUCUACGGUUUCAAGUAACGACGACAGUAGAACUAGUUUGUCUAGUUCAGUAAAGACGUAAAGAAGUGUGAGUCUACUAGAGUAAAGAGUGAAAUUAAGGAGGUGUCACUCUAGUUGAGUAAAGAGUGAAGAGAUGUAAACCAUAAUUCUAAGUUGUUUAAAAUACUUCAAAUUUUAACUGAUAACAGACCAAAGAAUUCUAUCAACCUAUCCGAUUUUGAAAGGUAGAGAAGCUAUACGAAUUUUCAAUAAAGCUAUACGAAUAUUAAUAUAUACAGAAGACCCGAGCUUAGAAGCUAUACGAAUUAUCGAUCAAUCUAUACGAGUUUUCAUUCACAGCCAUUCAAUCUUAAAGUUUUUGCAAGCAUCAAAGAACCAAUGAAUCAAUACGUUUUUAUAUAUCUAUUCCGUUCACAACCACUUCAAUCACAAGAGCGGAGCAUAUCAAACAACGAACGAGAAGAGCGAAUCAAAUCAAUCAUUUAAUCAACAAACAACCAAACAACAAACAACCAUUGAAUCUACACACCCCUACUCGGUUUCUCAAAAUUACAAAGGAGGUUAGACACAUACCUUCCCAAGUUUGGGUCGACUCUGAAUCGAUGUCGAAAGGAAACUGUUCGGAGGUGGACUGAAUCGAUGUCGGAGAGGAAACAGAGCGAAGAGAAACGGAUCAAGGAGAAGCAGAUUGAGGCGAAUCAGAUCGACAGCGGUGAAUCGAUUUCGCUUCAGUUUCGACAAAAGAGGAGAAACACACGGAAUAGGUUUCAUCGACUUCGUUUACAUCUCCCUCUCCUGUGCUGCCACGUUGCUCACGGGACGCGUCAAAAAGGACCUUAAUUAAGGCCCGGACCAAACAAAAUCUUUUCUUUUUGAUUUUCUUUUUAGCCCAAAUAGUGUUCGGGACGGGCCAAGGGCCGCCCGAUAAUGUUGCUCUAAGGGCAACAUUAUUGGGAGUCCCUUAAGGUAUCCAUUAAGGGAAGGGGGUGGGAACCGAGGAAGAAAGAGAAGGAAAAAGCCCUUAAUUAAGGGCUGUCCCUUACAUUCUAAUGACCAAAAAAAAAAAA